rnacentral:rRNA from 1 species
GAUGAACGCUGGCGGCGUGCCUAAUACAUGCAAGUCGAGCGAACAGACGAGGAGCUUGCUCCUCUGACGUUAGCGGCGGACGGGUGAGUAACACGUGGAUAACCUACCUAUAAGACUGGGAUAACUUCGGGAAACCGGAGCUAAUACCGGAUAAUAUAUUGAACCGCAUGGUUCAAUAGUGAAAGACGGUUUUGCUUUCACUUAUAGAUGGAUCCGCGCCGCAUUAGCUAGUUGGUAAGGUAACGGCUUACCAAGGCAACGAUGCGUAGCCGACCUGAGAGGGUGAUCGGCCACACUGGAACUGAGACACGGUCCAGACUCCUACGGGAGGCAGCAGUAGGGAAUCUUCCGCAAUGGGCGAAAGCCUGACGGAGCAACGCCGCGUGAGUGAUGAAGGUCUUCGGAUCGUAAAACUCGGUUAUUAGGGAAGAACAAAUGUGUAAGUAACUAUGCACGUCUUGACGGUACCUAAUCAGAAAGCCACGGCUAACUACGUG